AACACAUGCAAGUUGAACGGAUAAAAUUUUUGGCUUGCCAAGAAUUUUAUUAGUGGCAAACGGGUGAGUAACACGUAGGAAUCUGCCCUGUAGUACGGAACAACAAUUGGAAACGAUUGCUAAUACCGUAUACGCUCGAAAGAGGAAAGAUUUAUCGCUAUAGGAUGAGCCUGCGGUAGAUCAGGUAGUUGGUAGGGUAAUGGCCUACCAAGCCUAUGAUCUAUAGCUGGUCUGAGAGGACGAUCAGCCACACUGGGACUGAGAUACGGCCCGGACUCCUACGGGAGGCAGCAGUGGGGAAUAUUGGACAAUGGGCGCAAGCCUGAUCCAGCAAUGUCGCGUGAAUGAUGAAGGCCUUAGGGUUGUAAAGCUCUUUCGCCCGCGAAGAUAAUGAUGGUAGCGGGAGAAGAAGCCCCGGCUAACUUCGUGCCAGCCGCCGCGGUAAAAC
rnacentral:rRNA from 1 species